AACAGAAAGUAGCUUGCUACUUUGCUGACGAGCGGCGGACGGGUGAGUAAUGCUUGGGAACAUGCCUUGAGGUGGGGGACAACAGUUGGAAACGACUGCUAAUACCGCAUAAUGUCUACGGACCAAAGGGGGCUUCGGCUCUCGCCUUUAGAUUGGCCCAAGUGGGAUUAGCUAGUUGGUGAGGUAAUGGCUCACCAAGGCGACGAUCCCUAGCUGGUUUGAGAGGAUGAUCAGCCACACUGGGACUGAGACACGGCCCAGACUCCUACGGGAGGCAGCAGUGGGGAAUAUUGCACAAUGGGCGCAAGCCUGAUGCAGCCAUGCCGCGUGUGUGAAGAAGGCCUUCGGGUUGUAAAGCACUUUCAGUCAGGAGGAAAGGUUGGUGGUUAAUACCUGCUAGCUGUGACGUUACUGACAGAAGAAGCACCGGCUAACUCCGUGCCAGCAGCCGCGGUAAUACGGAGGGUGCGAGCGUUAAUCGGAAUUACUGGGCGUAAAGCGUACGCAGGCGGUUUGUUAAGCGAGAUGUGAAAGCCCCGGGCUCAACCUGGGAACUGCAUUUCGAACUGGCAAACUAGAGUGUGAUAGAGGGUGGUAGAAUUUCAGGUGUAGCGGUGAAAUGCGUAGAGAUCUGAAGGAAUACCGAUGGCGAAGGCAGCCACCUGGGUCAACACUGACGCUCAUGUACGAAAGCGUGGGGAGCAAACGGGAUUAGAUACC
rnacentral:rRNA from 2 species